UACAGAGGGUGCGAGCGUUAAUCGGAAUUACUGGGCGUAAAGCGUGCGUAGACGGUAGCGUAAGUCAGAUGUGAAAGCCCCGGGCUCAACCUGGGAAUUGCAUUUGAGACUGCAUUGCUUGGGUGCGGAAGAGGGAAGCGGAAUUUCCGGUGUAGCGGUGAAAUGCGUAGAUAUCGGAAAGAACACCAACGGCGAAAGCACUCUGCUGGGCCGACACUGACACUGAGAGACGAAAGCUAGGGGAGCGAAUGGG
rnacentral:rRNA from 1 species